ACUACAGUUUAACAACCAAAUUCAUACUUGAGUAAUUUAAUUGUCAUCUGAACUGGCUAAAUUCUAUUGAUAAGGACAUCGAGGUGUUGGAAUUCAAGGACAAGCUGUUGUCUUUGAGAGACCCCUGGGACAGCCUCAGAAAGAGUGCUGACACUUGCACUAGCAACAUCACUAAAGUCAGCCAGCCCUUGGCCUCAGAAUAAUAGUGUAGUUCAGUUGGAAGGAGCCUACAAAGCUCAUCAAGUCCAACUGCCUGAGGACUUCAGGGCUAGCCAAAAGUUAAAGCAUGUUAUUGAGGACAUUAUCCAAAUGCCUCUUGAAUGCGGCCAGGCACGGGGCAGCUACUACCUCUCUAGGAAGCCUGUUCCAGUGUCUGACCACCCUCAUAAUAAAGAAAUUUUUAUUAUUGUCUGGUCUGAGCCUCCUCUGGCACAGCUUUGUGUUGUUCCCAUGUGUCCUGUCAUCAGUUACUGGGGAGAAGGGACCAUUACCUCCGUGUCCCUUCCUCAGGAAGGUGCAGAGAACAAUGAGGUUGCCUUUGAGCCUUCUCUUCUCCAGACCAGACAACCCAAGCACCUUCAGCCUCUCCUUGUAGAGGAGCCUCGGUGCUUUGCAAGCUUGGCUUCAACCCCAUGGAGCUGUUGCAGGGACACAGGAGAGGGACGCUUCUGCUGCUGCUUCCCAGACACCUCGUGCUUGACACAGUGGGAAGCAUUGCUCCAGUCAGUGUGGCCUGGCAGAUUCCCUCCCCUUGAAAUUACCGUGCCUUUCUCUGCCCUUCAAGACAGUGACAAUAACAAAAUAAAGUGGCAGUAAAUUCCUCUGCCUUCCCACCACCAUCAGAUGUGCUCACAGUGGUCUCCCUUGGGCCAGUACCUACCUGCCUUGCUCCGUCAGAGCAGUGCAGAGAGACUGUACUGACACCCUGGCUGCAAAUAAUUUCUAAUUAUAUGAAUAAGCAGCUUAUUAACAAUACGUUUUGGCUAAUCAUUUUGUGCUAGAUAUCUCCGCAUUGUCUUUUCCCCAAAUCCCUCUCUCAUCAGGCACUUGAUGCUCAAUAACAAGGAGGAAUGCACUGGUUCUCUUAGGAACAAAUCCCAAGAGCCUGCAAUUAGUUCAGUUUCUGCAACAAGUUGCCUGCAAACUGAGCCAAGAACUGUGCCACAGUGCUGCGAGAAAGGCUGAGGCACUGCCUCCACGUUUACCAUGCCUAUUGGAAGUCCUGCCUUGGAGCAGAGGAGCUCUCAGGAGCAGGACAGGUCAUGAGAUGUCUGUGCAGGACCCAGCUUGUUGGGAGCAGCAAAGAAGUAAGGAUGGUGGUCCUCUUGCUGUGUCUCUGACAGAGGAUCAAUAUGGAUUUUAAUUACAGCAGCACAGAAAAUGAGACGGAUGGGAUCUCAGGAGGUCACUUAAUCCACUCCAGUGACACUCUGUAGGAUCAACUCCUCCUGUGUCGUUUCAGAGGAUCUCUUUAACUAGUUCAGGUUGCAGCAUUCAGUGCUGCAUCAUCCUGACUUGAAAGCUUUCCCUAACACCUGAGUCUCCCUGCUAUUUAACGCCUCUCUCCUUUCUGUGUCUGCCACAGACACGGAGAACAGAUGCUUCCCUUUCUCCUGCUGUGCAGGCUCCUGCCAUGCCUCCGCACAGCCUUUCCACUCCAGACUAACCGUCCCCAGUCCUUUUAAUUUCCCCUCCCAGGCCGUGUUUCUGACAGCUUGAAUCCUUUUAGUUCUCCAAACUAAAUCAUCAAUCCGCCUAUUUUCUGCUGACUUCAUGAACAUCCCCAAAGCCCCCUGAACUUUCCUUUGCUUGCGCAUCCACUGGGGGGUGCAGCCUUGCCCUUCUCUCCCCUUCCACAGAAACUCUACCUCCUCGCUGCCAUUCCUCA